UACGUAGGGUGCGAGCGUUGUCCGGAAUUACUGGGCGUAAAGAGCUCGUAGGUGGUUUGUCGCGUUGUCCGUGAAAACUCACAGCUCAACUGUGGGCGUGCGGGCGAUACGGGCAGACUAGAGUACUGCAGGGGAGACUGGAAUUCCUGGUGUAGCGGUGGAAUGCGCAGAUAUCAGGAGGAACACCGGUGGCGAAGGCGGCCACCUGGACGGUCACUGACGCUGAGACGCGAAAGCGUGGGUAGCAAACAGG
rnacentral:rRNA from 1 species